rnacentral:rRNA from 1 species
CGGAUUGUAGUCUGCAACCCGGCUACAUGAAGCUGGAAUCGCUAGUAAUCGCAGAUCAGAAUGCUGCGGUGAAUACGUUCCCGGGUCUUGUACACACCGCCCGUCACACCAUGGGAGUCGGAAAUGCCCGAAGUCGGUGACCCAACCGUUUACGGAGGGAGCUGCCGAAGGCAGGUCUGGUGACUGGGGUGAAGUCGUAACAAGGUAUC